GACGAACGCUGGCGGCGUGCUUAACACAUGCGAGUCGAGCGAGGCCCCUCCUUCGGGAGGGUGUCCUAGCGGCGAACGGGUGAGUAACACGUGGGCAACCUGCCCGCAGCUCUGGGAUAACUCCGGGAAACCGGGGCUAAUACCGGAUACGACCUCCACGGGCAUCUGCGGAGGUGGAAAGGUUUUCGGCUGAGGAUGGGCCCGCGGCCUAUCAGCUAGUUGGUGGGGUAGUGGCCCACCAAGGCGACGACGGGUAGCCGGCCUGAGAGGGCGACCGGCCACACUGGGACUGGGCCACGGCCCAGACUCCUACGGGAGGCAACAGUGGGGAAUAUUGCGCAAUGGGCGAGAGCCUGACGCAGCGACGCCGCGUGAGGGACGAAGGCCUUCGGGUUGUAAACCUCUUUCAGCAGGGACGAAGCGAAAGUGACGGUACCUGCAGAAGAAGCACCGGCCAACUACGUG
rnacentral:rRNA from 1 species